rnacentral:rRNA from 1 species
GAUGAACGCUGGCGGCGUGCCUAAUACAUGCAAGUCGAGCGAACGGACGCGAAGCUUGCUUUUCUGAUGUUAGCGGCGGACGGGUGAGUAACACGUGUAUCACCUACCUAUCAGUCUGGGACCACUUCGGGACACCGGCGCUAAUACCGGAUAAUCUUUUGAACCGCAUUGUUCAAUAGUGAAAGACGGUCUUUCUGUCACUUCUAGCUGGAUCCGGGCUGCAUUAGCUAGUUGGUAAGGUAACGGCUUACCAAGGCAACGAUGCAUAGCCGACCUGAGAGGGUGAUCGGCCACACUGGAACUGAGACACGGUCCAGACUCCUACGGGAGGCAGCAGUAGGGAAUCUUCCGCAAUGGGCGAAAGCCUGACGGAGCAACGCCGCGUGAGUGAUGAAGGUCUUCGGAUCGUAAAACUCUGUUAUUAGGGAAGAACAGAUGUGUAAGUAACUGUGCACAUCUUGACGGUACCUAAUCAGAAAGCCACGGCUAACUACGUG